AGAUUCUUCUCCCACGUAGGUGGUGACGCAGUCUCAGCGGAUUUCCCUACGCCAGACGAAAUUCCAGCGAGUCCCUUGACUUUACGGAGCACCCUAUUUAAUAUGUGGAAAACGGAAGUGGCUGGUCCGGGUCCCCAGGAUCUAAUUCCCUUGCCGUUUGUAGAAUCGAUGAAUCCGUUCCUGGUCCUCAGCCGAUGGCGCAGGACCGUGACUGCCCUCAAAGGAGGAGAAGUGAUGAGAUCAGAAUUUGGUGGACUGUGUGGAAAUCGAUCUUGGUUUAAGUGUACCAGGCUGUGGCUGAUGCCCAGAGCGCUGAGCCCAUGGAUCUGGCACAGAUGAAUCAACCCUAAAGUUUAUCCUGAUUGCUCUUCCUCUAGAUUUCAUAAGACACAUGAAAAUUAAUGCUGAGUUCCAUGGCUCAGCGGUAACAAACCCAACUAGUAUCCAUGAGGAUGCGAGUU